CUCGGAGCCUCCCGGCAGUGGUGGGGCUGGGUGAGGCCCGCAGGGGGCGGCAGUUUGGUCGCGGGCUCCUGGAAACCCUUGUGCUGGGAUACCGAGAUACUGCAAGCAUAGCCCUUUGUUUGUCGGGAGAGGCGCAAGGAACCGGAGGGGAAGGGAAGAGCUUUCAUCUCUCCAAACAAGCUGAGGAUCCAGAGGGACGCGGGGCUCAGUAGGGCCACAGUGCAAGAAUCGUGGAAUCAUAGAAUCAUGGAAUGGUUUGGGUUGGAAGAGACCUUAAAGAUCAUCUAUUUCUAAUCUCCUACCAUGGGAAUUUCACCAAUUAUGUUAGAGGAGAUCAUCCAAGCAGACCCUUUGCUGUUCCUUGCACUCCAAAUGCCUCUUCAAAGCAUAAGAGGGAGACUGGAACUCUUCCCCCACAGACGGGCCAUCCAGUGCUGAAGAACAGCCAUCUACCGCCUCACAGCUGGCUGAGGGAAGCAACCACACUCAGCAGCCUCCACCGUUCAUAUCAUUCCCUUUUGAUAGUCAAACGCCAAGGGAACAUAGAAACUACUACUGAAGGGCUUUACACAUUGAACUGUGUACGAUUUUUGGUUCUAAUCCAGAUCAAUCUUAAGGUGGAUGAAGAGCAAAUGCUUCUUGUUGCCCAAAGAAAAUGUAAUCGUUCAGUUUACCCUUCAGCUGCAUAGGAACUGUUGAAGUGGAAAAGCCUUGAAAUUUGGACUCAAUUGUUAAGAUUUUAACAGAGAAAAACACAGCUACCCUGUUAACAAUGCCUCUCCACCUAU